CCUACGGGAGGCAGCAGUGAGGAAUAUUGGUCAAUGGACGAGAGUCUGAACCAGCCAAGUAGCGUGAAGGAUGAAUGCCCUAUGGGUUGUAAACUUCUUUUAUAAAGGAAUAAAACGAGGCACGUGUGCCUUUUUGCAUGGACGUUAUGAAUAAGGAUCGGCUAACUCCGUGCCAGCAGCAGCGGUAAUACGGCUGAUCCGAGCGUUAUCCGGAUUUAUUGGGUUUCAAGGGAGAGUAGAUGGGUUGUUAAGUCAGUUGUGAAAGUUUGCGGCUCAACCGUAAAAUUGCAAUUGAUACUUGCAGUCUUGAGUACAGUUGAGGUAGGCGGAAUUCGUGUUGUAGCGGU
rnacentral:rRNA from 1 species